CCAGUUUCUGGGAGCCGACGGUGGGGCCAAGAGUAGGCGGGAUUUCUGCCCUCGCCAGCCCCUUCCCGCCGGCAGGACCUGGCUCCCAAGCACGCCAAGCUGCCGCGGCGUUAAUGCUACAUCACGUUGACCUGCCGGCUGCCGGGGGCUGGCUGGCCCCRUAACCUGCCUGCAGAGCAGUUGGGCUGACCCACAGCGAGGAAGAGCUUGCAGAUGCAUGUUGCUUUGCUGCCYUCCGUGCCGGCGGCUCCUCUGGCUCCCUCUUCCCUGGGCCCUGCCAGUGGGAGAGCCGAGGAAUGAGCCGACGCCAGCCCGGGGACCCCAUGGCUUCGCACACCCCGUGCUGGGACAUGGAUGCAGAGGAGGAGGAUGUCCAGAUGUGCCUGGCUCCCUUUCCUCGGCUACCCGCCAYGUACAGAGGAGGUGGGCACCAAGCAGCAGAGCAGCAGGAGGAGAGAGGAGCUUGGGAAGCCUGACGGAGGGCCGGGGCCAGCCAGAUCGGAGGGGGCUUGGAGCCAGCAGC
rnacentral:lncRNA from 1 species